AUUGAACGCUGGCGGCAGGCCUAACACAUGCAAGUCGAGCGGAUGAGUGGAGCUUGCUCCAUGAUUCAGCGGCGGACGGGUGAGUAAUGCCUAGGAAUCUGCCUGGUAGUGGGGGACAACGUUUCGAAAGGAACGCUAAUACCGCAUACGUCCUACGGGAGAAAGUGGGGGAUCUUCGGACCUCAUGCUAUCAGAUGAGCCUAGGUCGGAUUAGCUAGUUGGUGAGGUAAAGGCUCACCAAGGCGACGAUCCGUAACUGGUCUGAGAGGAAGAUCAGUCACACUGGAACUGAGACACGGUCCAGACUCCUACGGGAGGCAGCAGUGGGGAAUAUUGGACAAUGGGCGAAAGCCUGAUCCAGCCAUGCCGCGUGUGUGAAGAAGGUCUUCGGAUUGUAAAGCACUUUAAGUUGGGAGGAAGGGCAGUAAGUUAAUACCUUGCUGUUUUGACGUUACCAACAGAAUAAGCACCGGCUAACUUCGUGCCAGCCGCCGCGGUAACAC
rnacentral:rRNA from 1 species